CCUACGGGUGGCAGCAGUGAGGAAUAUUGGUCAAUGGUCGGGAGACUGAACCAGCCAAGCCGCGUGAGGGAGGAAGGUACAGAGUAUCGUAAACCUCUUUUGUCAGGGAACAAAGACUGGGACGCGUCCCCGGAUGCGUGUACCUGAAGAAAAAGCAUCGGCUAACACCGUGCCAGCAGCCGCGGUAAUACGGAGGAUGCGAGCGUUAUCCGGUUUUAUUGGGUUAAAGGGGUGCGCAGGCGGUCUGUUAAGUCAGCGGUCAAAGCCCGGGGCUCAACCCCGGCACGCAGUUGAAAAGGGCAGUCUCGAGUUGGAUAGAAGUAUGCGGAAUGCGCGGUGUAGCGGUGAAAUGCAUAGAUAUCACGAGGAACCCCGAUUGCGAAGGCAGCCUGCCGGGGUGCGACUGACGCUGAGGCUCGAAGGUGCGGGUAUCAAACAGGAUUAGAUACCCUAGUAGUC
rnacentral:rRNA from 1 species